GCUGGGGUGGCGAAAUUGGUAGACGCACUAGCCUUAGGAGCUAGCGGAGCGAUCCAUGGAGGUUCAAGUCCUCUCCCCAGCACCA
rnacentral:tRNA from 6 species